rnacentral:rRNA from 1 species
AUUGAACGCUGGCGGCGUGCUCUACACAUGCACGUCGAACGGUAACAGGCCUUCGGCUGCUGGCGGGUGACGAACGGGGGGGUAAUGCAUCGGAACGUGCCCAGACGUGGGGGGUAAAGCAACGAAGCCAGUACUCAUACAGCAUGUGAUCUGAGGCUCAAAGCAAGGGGCCAGGCAGCCAUGUUUAGCCUCGCGCCCUUGGAGCGGCCGAUGGCAGAUUAGGUAGUUGGCGGGGUAAAGGCCUACCAAGCCGGCAAUCUGUAGCUGGUCUGAGAGGACGACCAGCCACACUGGGACUCAGACACGGCCGAGAGGCCCACGCGAGCCAGCAGUCGGCAAUUUUCGACACAGGCUGAAGUCUUGAUGCAGCAAUGCCGCGUGCGGGAAGAAGGUCUUCGGGUUGUACACCGCUGUUUCUCGGAACGAAAAGGCUGUGGCUAAUACCUGGUGCUGAUGACGGUACCGUAAGAAUAAGCACCGGCUAACUACGUG